rnacentral:misc_RNA from 1 species
GAUCCAAGGAUAGGGAUUCUGAACCUUGCUGUUAAAUUACCGGCUGGAGUCAUAAAACCAGAUUUGGGUCCAAAGACAUACAUUGCUUAUGGUCUCAGCGAGGAACUUGGGAGAGGGGAUUCAGUGACAAAGCUUCACUGUGAUAUGUCAGAUGCGAUAAAUAUUUUGACACACACAGCAGAGAUGGCUAUAACUGAUGAGCAGCGGUCGGCAAUUGAAAUAGUGAAACAGAUGCAUAGAGCUCAGGAUGAAAGAGAGCGCAUCGAAUGCGAGGCUGA